rnacentral:rRNA from 1 species
AUGUCAACUGCUGUCCCAACCGAAAGUAGUAAGCCUAAGAGGUGGAAUGCUCGUGGGAAUCGCACUGACCCUGGCUGGGAACAUGGAGAAGAAGUAGAUGCUGAGAAGAGGACAACAAGAUGCAAGUAUUGCCUUCUAGUUAAAGGUGGAGGUGUCUACAGACUGAAGCAUCACUUGGCUGGGACAAGGUUUAAUGUUGAGCCUUGCAAAAAAGUUCCCGAUGAUGUUCGAAAAAAGUUUCUCAAACUUCUGGGGGUCCAAGCAGAGAAGAAUGAUGCAAAGAAGAGGAAGUUUAACACAGAAAUGGAGGAGACAGGUGCAUGUUCGAAGGAGAAUACUCCUGCUGAUAACAAUGAAGAUGAGGCUGCGACAAAUUGUUUCGCUAACAAGCGUAGAGCCCAAACAACACUGAAUCAGUUUUACAAGAAAGAAGAGAGGUUUUAA